UACACAAUUAUUUUAAAUCAGUCUGAACUAAAUCCAUACAACCUUAAAAGAGCUCAAUUCAUUUGUGUCGAAACAACAAAAAAUAAUGAUUCAAGUCAAACUACUACUUUUGCGCAUGCGCUAAUGACAGGAAAUCCACGUGACCUCGUCAGUUAUCGCGGGCGCCAUUAUGUGGUGGAGUCCAGUCCAUGGUGGAAUGCUGUAGAAUUGGUUUUUACAAGAGCUCAUUAAAUGAUAUCCUAUACUUGGGUUAUAGUCUACUUUUUCACAUGGUUUACAAGAGCAAUAAACAGCAUCCCAUGCUUGGGUUUUAGUAAACUUUUUCAUGUGAACAACAGCGUAGACAUGGAAAGAGAAUGCAUCCUCAAAAAGCACUGUGUGUAUACAUAAAGGAGGACCAUCUACAGCUGUUCAAGGAGUACAAUGUAAGCAACUGCUUUUCUCUUCUUCACUUUUAUGUUUGCAUUAAAAUCUAACCGUACCAUUCUCUACUUACGGUUCGGCAUGCACUUGAACCGCGGUCCACCUCUAAUGAUGCGAGUGCCGUAUGCUGCUCUAACGUCUAGUCAUGAACGCUGUUGCUAUCUUUGUGUAAACAAAACUCAUUUAAGCCUUGCUAACUUAAACAUUCAAGAGCAAGACGCAAAAGAGAACUGUGAGAUGAUUUGUGAGUGUGCUCAUCCAAAGC